rnacentral:misc_RNA from 1 species
GUAGGUGAACCUGCGGAAGGAUCAUUAAUGAAACUUCAAAGUCGGCUUGUCUAUCUGUGCUGGUGGAGACACAUGUGCACGUUGACAGGUCGCAAAUCCACACACCUGUGCAUCUAUGACUCUGAGUACCGCUUUGCAUGGCCCUUAUCGGGCCUGGUACUCGGGUACUUUACACACUCUGAAUGUAAUGGAAUGUCUUUUUGUACAACUAAAACAACUUUCAACAACGGAUCUCUUGGCUCUC